AUGUAAUGUAAUUCCUAUAGUGUUAAUGCAUCAGAUCCCAUUAGAACUCUGUAGUUAAGCGCACUUGAGCUAGAGUAGUACUCAGAUGGGUGACCUCCUAGGAAGUCCUAGUGUUUUACAUG
rfam:Picea glauca, whole genome shotgun sequence.